rnacentral:rRNA from 1 species
UACGGAGGAUGCGAGCGUUAUCCGGAUUUAUUGGGUUUAAAGGGUGCGUAGGCGGACGCUUAAGUCAGCGGUAAAAUUGCGGUGCUCAACGCCGUCGAGCCGUUGAAACUGGCGUUCUUGAGUGGGCGAGAAGUAUGCGGAAUGCGUGGUGUAGCGGUGAAAUGCAUAGAUAUCACGCAGAACUCCGAUUGCGAAGGCAGCAUACCGGCGCCCUACUGACGCUGAGGCACGAAAGCGUGGGUAUCGAACAGG